rnacentral:rRNA from 1 species
AAAAGCAGGGGAUCGAAAGACCUUGCGCUAAAGGAGCGGCUGAUGUCUGAUUAGCUAGUUGGUGGGGUAAAGGCUUACCAAGGCAACGAUCAGUAGCUGGUCUGAGAGGACGACCAGCCACACUGGGACUGAGACACGGCCCAGACUCCUACGGGAGGCAGCAGUGGGGAAUUUUGGACAAUGGGCGAAAGCCUGAUCCAGCCAUGCCGCGUGGGUGAAGAAGGCCUUCGGGUUGUAAAGCUCUUUUAGUCGGAAAGAAAGAGUCAUAGUAAAUAGCUAUGAUUUAUGACGGUACCGACAGAAAAAGCACCGGCUAACUACGU